rnacentral:rRNA from 1 species
UACGUAGGGCGCAAGCGUUGUCCGGAAUUCUUGGGCGUAAAGAGCUCGUAGGCGGUUUGUCGCGUCUGCUGUGAAAACCUGAGGCUCAACCUCGGGCUUGCAGUGGGUACGGGCAGACUAGAGUGCGGUAGGGGUGACUGGAAUUCCUGGUGUAGCGGUGGAAUGCGCAGAUAUCAGGAGGAACACCGAUGGCGAAGGCAGGUCACUGGGCCGCAACUGACGCUGAGGAGCGAAAGCAUGGGGAGCGAACAGG